GCCUAUAUCACCACUUCCUCAUAAGUGCUGGAUAGCCUAUCCACCACUUAUGUUGACAGAUAUGGAGAAUCCGUCAAAAAGUUGUGGAUAAGCCUAUCCGGCAAUUUAUCAGGAAGUGGAAAACAGACCCUAAGUAUUUUUAUUGCAAUUUAAUAACUUGGUUUUAUUAGCGUAUAAGAUUUAAUUAAAACUUAUAAAAAAAAUAAAAAUUAAGGCCUAAUGCAUAAAAAUAUUAGUACUUGUACUAGUCUAUUUUAGUCUUCAAUAUUUAAAUUUAGAAUAAAUUUUGUUUUUUUUCCUGAUAGUUGCCAGUAUGCCGUGUGUGGUUGCAAGUGUUGAUACCUCUCUAAAAGUUUUUAAAAUUCGUAAUCCCCGCUUAAUUAUUUUAAGAUUAAAUCUAUUAUAAACUACCUUAUUAUAGCACUAUAGUAUUGUAAAUAAUGCGGUCUCUACACACAGAUGCUUACAAAACAAAGUUUAUUGACAUAUAUUGCAUAUUCGUAGUUAAGCAGUCAAUCGAUAGUACAUAAUAACAACAAUAUCAAAGAACCCUAAUUAUUUUCUGCCGCCCGCAAUGCCGUCUCAUAUGUUAAACGAUUUUAAUUUUAUCGAAGUUUGCUCGUUCGAAUAUAGAAUUAUAUUUAAAAGUUAAAUAUACAUUUUAAUGAGUGUAUCGCAUAAAAAUAUUUGAAAAAAAAAUUACAAAAAAAAUUUAACGAGCUGUUGUUGGUAUAUUUAGGAAAAUAUUAAAAAAUGAACCAGAUCAUCUGAUGGUGGCCAUGUACAAAGAGAGUGAGGCGGCAUUACAGGCGGCGCUUAGACUCAGAUUAUAGAAUCAUAAUGUUUAAUAGUCAAUACAGAGGCAUCUAGAGAUGUAUAUAGGACGUCACGCGCGGCCCCUCCGGUACAAAUCCAAAGUAACGAUUUAUUGGAACAAAAAUUCAGAGUUUACAGAGGUCCUCCUAUGAUAUACGUCGUAAAUAUUUUAUUAAAGAUCUUUUAACAUUACCUCUUUAGAUUUGUAAUAGAAAAUUAUAGUAGAAGGCUCCUAAAUUCGCGAGAAGUAUUUUCAGUUCCAACAGAGUAUCGGAAAGCGACUGUACAAAACUGGUUUCUCGAAGGUUUCUUAAAAAACUUUUGUCUACUCUACAAUUAUUUAGGUGUAUUAGAUUUAAAACCUUUUGGGUUCCUCCUCUACCUACUCGUACUUUGUAGUUCUUCCCCCUUCUAGAAAAGCUACUGUUAGAUCUUACCGAAGUAGAAUUCAAGCUAAAGGUUGUAUAGGAGUAAGUGAGCAGUAGCCCCACAGCAGAUCAUUAUCGUAAGAUGUGUUUUAUUAUUCAUAUUUUAGUCACUUAGUUAUUUGUUCAGUUUGAAUAAAUGUACACUAACGUUGCAAACUUCCUAGUUUAUUUGCAAAUAUUUGUUAAAUUUUUGUAAUUAAUGACAAUUUAUUUAGACACCUACAUUCAAAUGUGUACAUGUUGAAUUUGUUGUGGUGUAAUUUAGUGAAUUGCUUAAAAGUACAAACAAACAAUUUGUUACUUUUGCAAAUUUUAUAAAUCGAAUGCAUAUAAAGUGACAGUGAUCUAUAUAAUCUUUACGUAAUAGUUACUGUAAAUCCUAAUAUAGGGCGGGAUCGUUUCACCUCACAAAAGUGACCCAUCCGUUAUUUUUAAACUUAGUUUUUCGUUGGUAAAUUUAGGAGCAAAAGUUGUUACUUAUUAUAAAACUAUAUCUUUAUCGGUUUACGCGUGCAUUUCUACUCGUAUUUUAUCGGAUACUAUAGAAUAGAUCAGUAGAGCACGCAGUUCGUAGGUACCCGACCCGGCGACUCAGCCGUACUGAGUCUCGUCUCGCUUUCCAACCUAGUGUAGUUACUUCCAGUAGUUCUCAUAUAGAAUCUUAGAUUUUAUUUAACUAUAAAGUGUGAAUGAGAAGUAUGCGUGGUCAUAACCUAACUUUAGUCAUCGUUUUUCGUAUUUUAAUCUCGCGCCGAGCGUCGGCGCAGGGCCGAUAAACCGUGUACAUUCUGGUCAUAGGCGGCGCCCCGGGCGUUCCAUAAGAAACUUCAAUUUUAAUUAAAUAUUACGAAUGCACUCUCCGAUGAUAAGUACCCCUGCCCCUAGUGACACUAUCAUUAACAUAGUAUUAAGGCGCGAGCACGCUGGAUUCCAGUCGUGUCUUUAGGCCAGUCGUGUCGCGCACUAUGCUUAAAUUGGUCGUAAGCUUCUUAUCAUAAAAUUGUCUUCAUUAAUGUCUCUGAUAGAAGUCCCAAAAUUGUGAUAUGAUAUAAGACUUCGGUCGCCCGAACGUAGCUAGUUAGACUGUUUUUUAAUAACGGUGUUAUGAAUAUUUGAAAAUUCGUCAAUUCCUUUGCAAAUACCGUGCGACUCUAUGCAGCUGACGUCUAUGAUUUCGCGACUGAAAAGACUGAAAAUAAAUCGUAUAUUUUUGGGAUAGAAUUCUAAGGAACUUAGAGUAUAGUGUUUCUCGUUUGUGCGUGACCAAGUCCAUGUCUACAUAAAUACCUCGAUGUCAAAUAAGAGUGAAACAAAACUUGAGCACUAAAAAUCAAAAUCUGUGAAUCGAAUUGUUCGUUAAUCCGAAUUGAAAUGGUAAAUCAGAUGUCAUUUCUGGAACCAUCUGUUCGACCGACGACUCGGGGACCUUGAACGAUCUCUAUUGGUUUAAUUGAGUUCGAGAACAAGCGAAUAUGAAAUUGAAUCUAAUUAUCGAAGCGAUUAAGACCCGGCGAAGGGUGCGAUCGAUGAAUCUGGGUUUCACUUUUAUUUGACUACCCCCCAUUCUCCCCGGCGCAUAGAGUCCGCGACAGCUCAAACUCCAAACACAUUGGCUGAUUCUAGUAUACGGCUGUUAUUGGUUAGUGAAAGAUCAAUGUGUUAAUUAUAUUUUGAUACUCGAUGUUUUCUACACUAACGUAGAUGUAUUAAUCUUUUGUAUUAACUUUUCUAGUUAGGCUCCCCGGCGCUCCAUCGCGCAGCAUCGUUUCGCGUCAUUUUCACGUAACGUCUGUACGUAGUGUCAGAUAAUCGGGCGCGGUGGAGCGUGCGAAGUGAUAUUACGUCGUGAAUGUCUUCGCGAGCGGAGACGGAAAGAAUUUCGCGAUCCGUCUUCGUAGUUUCCACGGCACAUGAAAAUUGUAAGACGGCAAAAUUGGUGAUAAUCCUACGAAUUGGUUAACGAUAAUAAUUAAGUUAUUGCAUGGCAAUUAGAGUAACGUGAUGCGCGGGGUGUAUCAGGGUAUGAGUGUCAUAACUUGUAACUAACGUUAACUUUUGUACUUUCGUAACGGUAACGAGUAAUUUAGAGGUAAAGUUUUUUCUAUUAAUAUAAAAUUCGUAAUUAAUCAAUUUUUUUACUGGAUAUGUAGAUGUAGUAUUUUUAUAAGGGCGAGAUAAGCUCGCGAGUACGUGUAUCACAGCGAUAAUAGUUAUUGUAUACGACCACCUCGGCCCGUCGUCGAGGAGUCGUCCGCAUUCAUGAAAGGAUUUUGAUA